UCCCGCCCAGCCAGGGGAGGGCCCCGGGUUCCCGCAGCUCCCGCACCGGGAGCGGCCGUGCGGGGGGGGCCGCCGCCGUUGCCCGGUAGCGGCAGCUCCGCCGUGCGCGAUGAAAGCCGCCGACUGGUGCCGGAGCUCGGCGGGGGCCGCUCUCGUCCUGGCCACGUCCAGCGAUGCCGAGCAUCCUGCCGAGAGCGUGGCGGACGGAAGUUCCAAAACAUUUUGGACGACAACAGGCAUGUUCCCACAGGAAUUGAUUAUUGGUUUUCCCAAAUGUGUAAAAAUCAGCAAAGUCGCCAUCCAGUGUUAUUUGGUGCGGACCUUAAGGAUUGAAAGAAGCACAUCUAAAGACCCUGUGGGUUUUGAACAGUGCAUUGAAAAAGAUUUGCAACACACAGAAGGACAGCUCCAAAUGGAAGAAUUUCCACUUCCUGAGUUCCAAGCCACUUACUUGCGUUUUGUCAUCAAAUCUGCCUUUGAUCAUUUUGUGUCAGUGCAUCGGGUGAUGGCAGAGGGCACGGCAGAGAACACUUGAGUCCAGCUGAAAUUUGGGCCUCCAUUUAAUUUUUUUAUAAGGAAGUUACAUUUUGAUAGCUGCCCUGCAGAGCAUGUUUAUUAUUAGACCCUUGUAUUAAAGUGGUUUUUUGAAGUUUUUCCAGGAUGGCACGUAUCUCCUGGGGGUGGUAAUUCCAAGGCCCCACUCCUCCCUGCAAAGGCAAUAAAAUGACACAGUGAUGCUCAGGCAGACAGAGCAGAAGUCCUUCAGAGCACAGCAGCUGCACCAGAACUGUGGGCAGGUGUGCCUGGGCUCCCUUUCCACUGGAGCCAUCCCUGGGAGAUGAUUAUGCACUGGUUACACCCUGCUGUGUCACUGGGACAGAGCCAGUGUCUGGAUCCUGCAGGUGGGAAGUGUUCCUGGAUCUCACAGCUUAGAUGUACCUCGGGUUAGUAGUGAGCCAAAAGAUAAAUGUUUGAGCAAGACUGGGGUGUACAUCAAAUAUGUACAUUAUAAAGGCUCAGACUGGUUGUGCUGCAUGUUCAUUUCUCUCCACAGUUACAGUGCAUUGUGAAAUGUUUAGCUCUCAAACAGAAUGAAAUAUUGACUGUUAAAUGUAAAGCAGUCUCAAGUUACCUUGAAAUUUUAAAAUCUCUAUAUUCUGCUCAUUGCUGUGGAUAUUUUUUACCUUGUAGAUGACCUUCCCUCCUUGGAGCAGGUAGAGUCGUUCUGGCAGCGCAGCAUAUUUUGAACUGCUCAGGUUUUCCAUGGUGUCUAAAACCACUGGACAUAGAGGGUGAUUUUUCUGAAGAAAUUGGGCUGCAAUUUUUCGAUCUUCAAGGCUUCUGUGAUUUUUAAUAACAACAUUGUUUUUAAAAGCCCAUCCAUCUAAAACAAAUGAGGGAGGGAUUUAGCAAGGAACAUUUUGAAUAGGUGCAAGGGUGGAGAUAUACUGUGUGUCAUAUCCCAAAACUAGGUUAAAAGAAUCUUGCAGUUUAUUCUUAAUACCAAAACCUGCCAUGAAAUGAAAGACUAUGGGAGCACUAGAGCUUUUCAAAUAAGUGGUCCCAAGAUCUGCUUUUUUUUCCUUUUCAUUUCAUCAAACUGUAUUUUCCCCUUGCCCCAGAUUCAGAAAUAUUUGAUGGAUUUUAGCUGAAAUUUUCCCACAUAAAUCGACCAUAGAAAUACACCAGGAGGGGAAUAUAUGUUCUAUUUGGGCAAGCUUUGUCAGUGUUGUUCAUUCUACUUGAUUGUACUCAUUAAGCCUAUAAACCAAAAUUAUAGGUCUGUGAGAAGUGAAACACAUGAGCCAGGACACACCUUUGUUUUUCAGAACUAUGCAAACAAACAUUUGCACACAACUCUUCCUAAUAAAGUAAAAACUAGUUAAAAGGGUUUGAUGACUGACUUAGUCAUUACCUGAUUCUCAGCUGCUGAAAAUGACAUAUUGCUAGAAAACUAUAAAUGUUAGGUUUUAGAAAAACAUUUAAUCCUGGGAUAAAAGCAGUGCCAAUGUGUUACUUAGAAUCCAGUGUAGAUAAACAAGGGUGCAUUGUUUGCUUGCUAAAUUUUUCAAAUUGGAGUCUGUGUCUUGUCCUUGGAAAAUGUUAAAAACUAGGGGUUUUUUCUGUUAACACAUAACAUGCUGGCAUUGUACACUUAA